UACGGAGGGUGCGAGCGUUGUCCGGAAUCACUGGGCGUAAGGGGCGCGUAGGCGGCCUGAUAAGUAGGGGGUGAAAUCCUGCGGCUUAACCGCAGGGCUGCCUUCUAAACUGUCGGGCUAGAGCACGGUAGAGGCAGAUGGAAUUCCCGGUGUAGCGGUGGAAUGCGUAGAGAUCGGGAAGAACAUCAGUGGCGAAGGCGGUCUGCUGGGCCGUUGCUGACGCUGAGGCGCGACAGCGUGGGGAGCAAACAGG
rnacentral:rRNA from 1 species